rnacentral:rRNA from 1 species
AACGAACGCUGGCGGCAGGCUUAACACAUGCAAGUCGAGCGCCCCGCAAGGGGAGCGGCAGACGGGUGAGUAACGCGUGGGAAUCUACCCAUCUCUACGGAAUAACGCAUGGAAACGUGUGCUAAUACCGUAUACGUCCUUCGGGAGAAAGAUUUAUCGGAGAUGGAUGAGCCCGCGUUGGAUUAGCUAGUUGGUGGGGUAAAGGCCUACCAAGGCGACGAUCCAUAGCUGGUCGGAGAGGAUGAUCAGCCACACUGGGACUGAGACACGGCCCAGACUCGUACGAGAGGCAGCAGUGGGGAAUAUUGGACAAUGGGCGCAAGCCUGAUCCAGCCAUGCCGCGUGAGUGAUGAAGGCCCGAGGGUUGUAAAGCUCUUUCACCGGUGAAGAUAAUUACGGUAACCGGAGAAGAAGCCCCGGCUAACUUCGUGCCAGCAGCCGCCGUAACAC